rnacentral:rRNA from 1 species
UAUUGGACAAUGGGCGAAAGCCUGAUCCAGCAAUGCCGCGUGAGUGAUGAAGGCCUUAGGGUUGUAAAGCUCUUUUACCCGGGAUGAUAAUGACAGUACCGGGAGAAUAAGCUCCGGCUAACUCCGUGCCAGCAGCCGCGGUAAUACGGAGGGAGCUAGCGUUGUUCGGAAUUACUGGGCGUAAAGCGCACGUAGGCGGCUUUGUAAGUUAGAGGUGAAAGCCUGGAGCUCAACUCCAGAAUUGCCUUUGAUACUGCAUCGCUUGAAUCCAGGAGAGGUGAGUGGAAUUCCGAGUGUAGAGGUGAAAUUCGUAGAUAUUCGGAAGAACACCAGUGGCGAAGGCGGCACACUGGACUGGUAUUGACGCUGAGGUGCGAAG